rnacentral:rRNA from 1 species
UACAGAGGAUGCAAGCGUUAUCCGGAAUUAUUGGGCGUAAAGCGUCCGCAGGUGGUUUUGUAAGUCUGCUGUUAAAGCGUUAGGCUCAACCUAAUAAGGGCAGUGGAAACUAUGAGACUAGAGUAUGUUAGGGGUAGAGGGAAUUCCCAGUGUAGCGGUGAAAUGCGUAGAGAUUGGGAAGAACACCGGUGGCGAAAGCGCUCUGCUAGGACAAUACUGACACUGAGGGACGAAAGCUAGGGGAGCGAAUGGG